AUUAGAAGCUUGCUUCUAUGACGUUAGCGGCGGACGGGUGAGUAACACGUGGGCAACCUGCCUGUAAGACUGGGAUAACUCCGGGAAACCGGAGCUAAUACCGGAUAACAUUUUCUCUUGCAUAAGAGAAAAUUGAAAGAUGGUUUCGGCUAUCACUUACAGAUGGGCCCGCGGUGCAUUAGCUAGUUGGUGAGGUAACGGCUCACCAAGGCAACGAUGCAUAGCCGACCUGAGAGGGUGAUCGGCCACACUGGGACUGAAACACGGCCCAGACUCCUACGGGAGGCAGCAGUAGGGAAUCUUCCGCAAUGGACGAAAGUCUGACGGAGCAACGCCGCGUGAGUGAUGAAGGCUUUCGGGUCGUAAAACUCUGUUGUUAGGGAAGAACAAGUACAAGAGUAACUGCUUGUACCUUGACGGUACCUAACCAGAAAGCCACGGCUAACUACGUGCCAGCAGCCGCGGUAAUACGUAGGUGGCAAGCGUUAUCCGGAAUUAUUGGGCGUAAAGCGCGCGCAGGCGGUUUCUUAAGUCUGAUGUGAAAGCCCACGGCUCAACCGUGGAGGGUCAUUGGAAACUGGGGAACUUGAGUGCAGAAGAGAAAAGCGGAAUUCCACGUGUAGCGGUGAAAUGCGUAGAGAUGUGGAGGAACACCAGUGGCGAAGGCGGCUUUUUGGUCUGUAACUGACGCUGAGGCGCGAAAGCGUGGGGAGCAAACAGGAUUAGAUACCCUGGUAGUCCACGCCGUAAACGAUGAGUGCUAAGUGUUAGAGGGUUUCCGCCCUUUAGUGCUGCAGCUAACGCAUUAAGCACUCCGCCUGGGGAGUACGGUCGCAAGACUGAAACUCAAAGGAAUUGACGGGGGCCCGCACAAGCGGUGGAGCAUGUGGUUUAAUUCGAAGCAACGCGAAGAACCUUACCAGGUCUUGACAUCCUCUGACAACUCUAGAGAUAGAGCGUUCCCCUUCGGGGGACAGAGUGACAGGUGGUGCAUGGUUGUCGUCAGCUCGUGUCGUGAGAUGUUGGGUUAAGUCCCGCAACGAGCGCAACCCUUGAUCUUAGUUGCCAGCAUUAAGUUGGGCACUCUAAGGUGACUGC
rnacentral:rRNA from 2 species